rnacentral:rRNA from 1 species
GACGAACGCUGGCGGCGUGCCUAAUACAUGCAAGUAGAACGCUGAAGAGAGGAGCUUGCUCUUCUUGGAUGAGUUGCGAACGGGUGAGUAACGCGUAGGUAACCUGCCUUGUAGCGGGGGAUAACUAUUGGAAACGAUAGCUAAUACCGCUUAACAAUGGAUGACACAUGUCAUUUGUUUGAAAGGGGCAAUUGCUCCACUACAAGAUGGACCUGCGUUGUAUUAGCUAGUAGGUGAGGUAACGGCUCACCUAGGCGACGAUACAUAGCCGACCUGAGAGGGUGAUCGGCCACACUGGGACUGAGACACGGCCCAGACUCCUACGGGAGGCAGCAGUAGGGAAUCUUCGGCAAUGGGGGCAACCCUGACCGAGCAACGCCGCGUGAGUGAAGAAGGUUUUCGGAUCGUAAAGCUCUGUUGUAAGUCAAGAACGAGUGUGAGAGUGGAAAGUUCACACUGUGACGGUAGCUUACCAGAAAGGGACGGCUAACUACGUG